UAAUCAACUGUAAUUCUUAAAGCUGCCU
rnacentral:piRNA from 1 species